AUGACCAUAUCUGAGCUCUCCCCUGAGAUCCUUGCUCUUGUGCCACGGCGUCGGCGCCGUCGCACCUUGGUCUCCGAUGGGCUUAACCAGCAUGCGUGGAUUCGGGAUAUCCACGGCACUCUUGGUCCCAUCGAGGUAGUCCAAUAUGUUCAUCUCUGGCGGCGUCUUCAUGGCAUACAACUCAGUAGCUCCCCGGACAAAAUCUACUGGAAAUGGACUGCCAGCGGUGCCUACUCAGCUAAAUCCUACUACAAGGCACUCUUCUUCGGAUCAACCUCCCAACCCGCUUGGCGCCCGAUCUAGAAGGGAUGGGCCCUUCUGGGCAACAAGUUCUUCAUGUGGAUGCCUUCCCUUGACUGAUGUUGGACUGCCAAGCGUCGCGCACGGCACGGCCUUACGCAUGAUCCACAAUGCAUCUUCUGUUCCCAGGAGUUCGAGACCAUUGAGCACCUCCUUGUGGGCUGCGUCUUCUCACGGAUAACUUGGCACGAAAUCCUCUCUUGGUGCUGAUUGGUUACACCGCCCAUGCCCCAUUCCACCACUUUCUUCGACUGGUGGCUUCAGGCCAUGGCGGCCUCCCGGGAUAGCCUUAGAAGAGGCCUCAACUCCAUCAUUGUCCUCACUGCAUAGGCUAUCUCGAAGCACAGGAACGCGGACUUCUUUGAUGGCGCCCAGCUCUCUACCGAUGACCUUGUGCAGCUGAUCAAGGACGAUGCGGGCAGAUGGGCUAGGGCCGGUGCUAGAGGUUUAGAACAAAUUGUCCCUGUAAUCUGA
rnacentral:rRNA from 1 species